AUUUUUUUCUUUUUAAUAAUGUCUAAAAAAAUUAUUAUAAUAGGGUUAUUUUUUUCUUUUUAAUAAUAUCUAAAAAAUUAUUAUAAUAGGGCAAUAUUAUAAAAAUAAGUUAAAAGGAACAAAAGAUAAUGGCAAAAGUGUCAAUAAUUUAAUGGUAGGGAUGAUUUGAGGUAUUUUUAAAAAUAUAGGGACUAAACGGGUACUAACUUCAAAAUAUAGGGACUAAACGAGCUUUUACCC
rnacentral:lncRNA from 1 species